ACGGGGAGCAGCAGGCGCGAAACCUUUACACUGCACGACAGUGCGAUAGGGGACCCCGAGUGCGAGGGCAUACAGUCCUCGCUUUUCGUGACCGUAAGGAGGUCACAGAAUAAGUGCUGGGCAAGACCGGUGCCAGCCGCCGCGGUAAUACCGGCGGCACGAGUGAUAGCCACUAUUAUUGGGCCUAAAGCGUCCGUAGCCGGCUACACAGGUCCGUCGGGAAAUCCACCCGCUCAACGGGUGGGCGUCCGGCGGAAACCAGGUAGCUUGGGGCCGGAAGACCAGAGGGGUACGUCCGGGGUAGGAGUGAAAUCCCGUAAUCCUGGACGGACCACCGGUUGCGAAAGCGCCUCUGGAGAACGGACCCGACGGUGAGGGACGAAAGCUAGGGUCUCGAACCGGAUUAGAUACCCGGGUAGUCCUAGCUGUAAACGAUGCUCGCUAGGUGCGACGCAGGCCACGAGCCUGCGUUGUGCCGUAGGGAAGCCGAGAAGCGAGCCGCCUGGGAAGUACGUCCGCAAGGAUGAAACUUAAAGGAAUUGGCGGGGGG
rnacentral:rRNA from 1 species